UGUUUUUGGAUUUUAUAGGUUUUCUCUUUAAGUAUGGAAACAAGGUAUCAUGUAUCUAAAAAUGCCCCAAUUCACUUUCAUUUCCACAACAGAAAUCUGAACAAUGGAUGAAGAAUUAGAAAAUGCCGUCAGCAGCCACAACGCAAUAACGUUUUCCAUGUUUUGUUUUCUGUGGGUAUUAUAUGAAUAUACUGCUCUGUAAAAACCUCCAGAAUCCAGAGUGGUAUUGUUAAUGCUGUGCGUUAAUUUCCAGUUUUUAAAUAUUGUUAUGCAAUAGUGUCCUGGUUUUUGGUACUUUUGGGUCUUAAUAUAAUUUUUUUAACACAUUGGUAUGUUAAUAGUCAGGAUGCUGUUAGCUUUGUGUGCUAAUAUCCAGGAUUUUUACAUGUUGUCAUGAUAAUAUGCAAAUAUUGUUAUUGGAUAACCUUCACAAUAUAAGGACAACCUGAACCUUGCUCACUUGUUUCUGAGUAUUUGCAGCUGAUUUGUUUUUGCCUUGAUAGAAAAAACGUUUUAAAGUAUAAAUUCAGGGAUAUUUUCAAGUUAUCUGGUCACAUUAAAAAGGAUUGUUGCCUCGUAAUGCUUUGAUAUGUUAAAUCCUAUUCAUUUAAAAUAGCUGCAUCCUUAUUAAUAAGUAAAUAAUUAUAUUUUGAGUUCAAAUUCAUGGUCUGUAAAUCAAUCUCUGAUAAGCACAAUACUUAGAUUAUAGUUUAUGUUAAUUGGGAAUAUUUUUCCCCACAGUUUAAAGGCACUUAAAGGCAGAAAAACAAUCUUCUCCGCUUAGUAGCAGCCUAUAAUUUGACAUAAAUGUCGGAGUUCAAGUUAUUGUUGUGUAUUAACAUUCAAUUUGUGAAUAAUUUAAUGCAAUAAUGUCCUGUUCUGUGUGCCUUGUUAUGUUUUUUGAAAAUGUUUAUUGCAUUGCCUCGGAUUAUUUACAAAUUAUUAUUUUCCUUUGAUGGAAUAAAACAUUAUCGAGUAUAAAUUCAGGGAUGUUGUCAUGUUAUUUUCUCUUUAAAGGCGUUUGUUGCCUCUUAAUAGCGUCACAUGUUGAAAUAUAUGAACAACAAACAGCUGCAUGAUUAUUUGUGAGUAAAUAACGACAUUUUGAGAUUGAAGAGGAUUCUCUUUCACAUGACGAGCACAUCAGUAAAACAUCUGUCCUGAGGAACAAACACCGUGUUCUCCUCUCUGAAUAAUUCCUCUUUUACUUUCACUCCGUCUAACGGGGCCUGUUGCUGCCGCUGAUGACGCAGGAAAACACCGCUGAGCAAGGCACCGUUCCCGGACAGGGACCGGGAGGAUCCGGGAGGAACAGGCGGAGCUGUUCGCCAGCUUCCAUUUGUGCGCUGCGCCACACACUGCGCGGCCUGCGGGGCUUCUACGCGGCUCGUUUCCGUGUCUGGCUCUUUAGACCGAGUCCAGACAACGCUGGCCCGGGCCCAGAUUGGGAUCUUUCAGAUUUCCUGGGGGGUUCUGUUGAUCUUUUCCCUCUAAAAACGCACAGCCCCGCCGCCCUCCCCCACCCGCAGCCCCUAGGAGCUCACCGAACAUAUGGAUGUGUCCCUUGGUGAUGGGGUUGAAGCUGCCGCAGGACAGCAGGAUGACGUGCGUUUUGGUGUUCUCUGUCAUGGUCCUUCCCUCCUCUGGGCUCUUCGGUCCUGUGUACCGGUCCGGUCCGGUCCCCGGUCCCGUGGUGGGUCGGGUGGUCGGUUUGUUUGUGGCAGGCGGCCGCUGCAGGGAGUCAAA